rnacentral:rRNA from 1 species
UAUUGGACAAUGGGGGCAACCCUGAUCCAGCCAUGCCGCGUGUGUGAAGAAGGCCUUUUGGUUGUAAAGCACUUUAAGCAGUGAAGAAGACUCUAUGGUUAAUACCCAUAGACGAUGACAUUAGCUGCAGAAUAAGCACCGGCUAACUCUGGGCCAGCAGCCGAUUUAAUACAGAGGGCGCAAGCGUUAAUCGGAAUUACUGGGCGUAAAGCAAGCGUAGGUGGCUUAAUAAGUCAGAUGUGAAAUCACCGGGCUUAACCUGGGAACUGCAUCUGAUACUGUUGGGCUAGAGUAGGUGAGAGGGAGGUAGAAUUUCAGGUGUAGCGGUGAAAUGCGUAGAGAUCUGAAGGAAUACCGAUGGCGAAGGCAGCCUCCUGGCAUCAUACUGACACUGAGGUUCGAAAGCGUGGGUAGCAAACAG